ensembl:snRNA Gm25102 predicted gene, 25102
AGUUUUUUUGCAGUGGCAGUAUUGUAGCCCAUGAAGUUUAUCCAAGGAGUGGUUAUUGCUAAUUAAAAACUUUUCAACAGAAUAGCUCAUUUUCUUGUGAAGAUUCAAGGAUC